rnacentral:rRNA from 1 species
CAGCAGUGGGGAUAUUGCACAAUGGGGGAAACCCUGAUGCAGCGACGCAGCGUGCGGGAUGACGGCCUUCGGGUUGUAAACCGCUUUCAGCAGGGAAGAAGCGAAAGUGACGGUACCUGCAGAAGAAGUACCGGCUAACUACGUGCCAGCAGCCGCGGUAAUACGUAGGGUACGAGCGUUGUCCGGAAUUAUUGGGCGUAAAGAGCUCGUAGGUGGUUGGUCACGUCUGCUGUGGAAACGCAACGCUUAACGUUGCGCGGGCAGUGGGUACGGGCUGACUAGAGUGCAGUAGGGGAGUCUGGAAUUCCUGGUGUAGCGGUGAAAUGCGCAGAUAUCAGGAGGAACACCGGUGGCGAAGGCGGGACUCUGGGCUGUAACUGACACUGAGGAGCGAAAGCAUGGGGAGCGAACAGGAUUAGAUACCCUGGUAGUCCAUGCCGUAAACGUUGGGCACUAGGUGUGGGGGACAUUCCACGUUCUCCGCGCCGUAGCUAACGCAUUAAGUGCCCCGCCUGGGGAGUACGGUCGCAAGGCUAAAACUCAAAGGAAUUGACGGGGCCAGCA